rnacentral:snRNA from 1 species
ACCUGUCUUUGGACAAGGGUAUACGAGUAGCUGCACUCCCCUGCUAGGACCUCCAAACAAGUUCUCAAGGUCCAUUGUAGGAACGUAGGGUAAUCAAGCUACCACAGAAGAAAAGACCCAAAUUGCUUAAGAUAUGUCAGCAACUGAAU